AGCUAUUCUCAGGAAACGAAAACUUGACUAUUAUUUGCACAAACUGCUACCUGAGAUCUUGCAAUCAACUUCCUUUCUGACAGCAAAUGGGGCCUUGUAUAUUGCUUGCUUUUGCAUUCUAAGGAAGCUGCUUGGAAAAUUCUACUUUUGGUCUCCUGGCUUUGGUGCUGCUCUACCAGCUUCAUAUAUGGCUAUUCUCAUCGAAAGAAAAAGCAGGAGAGGCCUGCUGACAAUUUACAUGGCCAAUCAGGUAA